UUCUACAGUUCUUUCCCUUCUAUCUGAUUGGUCGCAUCAUUCUAGCUUGUUGACCACCAGUUUAGUCUUGAACUGCACGCCACGCGGAUUGCUUUAUACCGCCCGCCUGUUUUCCUUACUCUGUUCGCCUCAAAUUCGUCGUCACUUUGAGAUGUGCAACGGUCUUUUAUCAUUCAUCCUCGUCAAAUUCUCCAUCGUUCUCAUAGUGUCCGCGAUGGAGGAAGACCUGUACGAAGGCAGCCAGUGCACGUUGGAAAAUGGUAACCCAGGUGUGUGCAAAAGAUUGCCCGAUUGUUCGGCCAGAAUGGCAGAAGUGGAGCUAGGGAGGAGGACCUCGGAUUCAUCGGGGAGAUGCGGUUUCGAGGAUUUCACAGAGAUCGUUUGUUGCCCCGUAAAUAUCACCGAUAAAAUAGCCCGUCGUCCAGCCGACGUUGCCUGCCAACAAUACGACAUUAAUAUAACGAUAGACAACAAGAAGCCAGACGAUUUGUCUUUUCAUAUAUUUGGAGGUAUCCAAGCCCAGUCUGGCGAGUUUCCAUAUAUGGUAGCUCUUGGAUACGAGAACGAUGAUCUGGAAGAAGAUCCGUCACCCAUCAAAUAUAGUUGCGGAGGUAGUUUAAUAUCCUCUCAACACGUGCUUACAGCUGCACAUUGCGUUAACAAUGUGAACGAAAAAGUACCUGUCGAAAUACGACUGGGAAACGAAGACAUAAAAAGCUCAGCUUCAAACGUGCAACGUAUCCCCAUCAGUGAUAUAAUAUCCCAUCCAGAAUACAAACGCAGUAUGAAUUAUAACGACGUGGCUAUUUUGAAGUUGAAGACCAGGGUACAACUUUCGAAUACGGUUAAACCUAUCUGUCUCGAAACCAGAUCCUUAAAUUCCAUGAGUAUAACUUCGAGGACACCUUUGGUGGUGAUCGGAUGGGGAGCUACAAGUUUCCAUACCGAGAAUUCUGUUAAACUGAUGAGAACUCCUAGUCUAAGCCUCGUGGACAGAGAAGAAUGCGCCGAACAGUAUACAGGAUUCCUGAAAUUACCUCGUGGCAUUGACGAGAAUUUGAUCUGCGCUAUGGAUCCUAAUAGUACCAGAAGAGCGGACGCUUGUCAAGGUGACAGCGGAGGGCCUUUAUUAAUGUUAACCGAGACAGGGGACAGUGUGAUAGGAAUCACUGCUUUUGGACAAAGUUGUGGUAGUUCAGUUCCAGGUGUUUAUACUGCGAUACACUCUUACCUGGAUUGGAUCGAAGAGCACGUAUGGUUGAGCAGCGAACCGAAAUCUGUUACCAAAACACAGAUUACUUAUAUCGCUGUAUGAGCGACGAAUACUGACGUGAAAAUGAUUUCAUUCGUUUCAAUAUAAUACUCGAUAUAGUCUCGUUAGAUUUCAAUUGUCUGGUAAGGAUGGAGAGAAAACGAGAUGGCAGUAAACAUUAACAAAACCCUUUUUUAUUUAUUCACAUUCUGUACAAAUGUAUUUUACAUAAUGUCGAUAAUAUCUAUCGUGCCAAAUUAAAUAUCGGGCGGCAAUGUGAUUUUUUUUUGUUUUUAGAACAGGAUACAAUUAAUAGGAGCGUGGACUGUGUUAAUUUGUUAACUUUUAAUUGAAGCAUUCUUAAUUAACAGAAAUAAUAAAAAGCACGCCCGAGCGCGAAGAGGUAAACCAGCACCAAAAUUGAAAAGCAAUUUCAAGCGAUUUAAGUUUAUAGUGUAACUUUGCCACUUUUUUCCUCGUCAAAACAACGAGAAUAACCAUAGACCAUUGUACACAUACAGGGCGAUCGGCUACUGAUGGGCAUUCUUUGAAAGGGUUGUAACUGGGGUGAUUUUGAACAACUUUUUCUUUUACCAAAAAGUUAUUCAGAAUCACCCCAGCUAUCAUCCUCUCAAUGGAUGCCCAUCUGUAAUCGAACACCUUGUAUACAUACGUUUUAUAUCUCCCACGGAGAUAAUUAAUUAAAUCUAAACAUCAAAAUCCUAAGUUAUUUAACGAUGUACAACGAUUAUAAUACAGUGUACGUAAAUAUAUGGAAUAUAAUACUGUUACAAUCAGGUGCAA